CCUACGGGAGGCAGCAGUAAGGAAUAUUUGGCAAUGGACGAAAGUCUGAACCAGCCAAGUAGCGUGAAGGAUGACUGCCCUAUGGGUGUUAAACUUCGUUUAUAAGGAAGUAAAACGAGGCACGUGUGCCUUUUUGCAUGUACUUUAUGAAUAAGGAUCGGCUAACUCCGUGCCAGCAGACGCGGUAAUACGGAGGAUGCGAGCGUUAUCCGGAUUUAUUGGGUUUAAAGGGAGCGUAGGUGGGUUGUUAAGUCAGUUGUGAAAGUUCGCGGCUCAACCGUAAAAUUGCAAUUGAUACUGGCAGUCUUGAGUACAGUUGAGGUAGGCGGAAUUCGUGGUGUAGCGGUGAAAUGCUCAGAGAUCACGAAGAACACCGAUUGCGAAGGCAGCUUACUAAACUGUGACUGACAUUGAUGCUCGAAAGUGUGGGUAUCAAACAGGAUUAGAUACCCUUGUAGUC
rnacentral:rRNA from 1 species